AGAAGUACUUUGCGUACAAGGGAUAGAGGAAGUCUCUAGAAAGCUGUGGAGAUUUUCAGGGGAAGUAGGACCAUCCUCUUGAGCUGAAGAAGAGAAGGUUACCUCAAGUGUGGUGCAGCUUGGGCUUAAAGGGUCACUGUGGGUGCUAGUAAAAUCAGGUGUAUCAGAACAAGGGUAAAUCUGCAGCUGAUAACGAUAUGGUGCAAAGUUUAUGCGGCAGAGGAGUUCAUGGAUGCGGAGGAGGAUUUCGGGGCAUAUCAAUGCGUAGGCCAAUUAUACAAGACUCUCAGUCACCACCCAUAAGUGAUGAACCGAACCUGCAAGACAAGGUUAACUCCUCAUCAUCAGACGACUCAACCCAACCACCCGAUGUCGUAUUUGAGACUGAGUUCCCAGAACAAUUGGAUGGUAUAGGUAACUCUGGUAUAUUUUGUAAUAAAUUCCAGUCUUAAUUUACUUACUACAAGAGUAAAUACUUACAACCAUGCUGUGCAGUUUAGUCAAAAGUUGGGUUUUACACCACUAUAGUAAUUUUAAUCCUGAUAUAAUUUGGUUACAUUCAAUCUGUGAGUAAGAAACGGGGUCGUGGACGAGCCAAGAAUACAGAAUUUGACAUGCUUCAGAAAAUGGGCCCGAUUCCAUUGCUUAUCAAGAACAGAGACACUAAGGUGUCAUGCCAAAAUGCUAACAUUUUCAGUGGAUGGGUGACAUGGAUCAUAAAGCAUUAUGCUAACAUGGGUUACAACUGUUGGAAUGGAGUGGCAGAAGCUGAACAAGAGGGGUUGUGUGGUCGUGUUCGAGUUGACUUUAUUGUUCAAUGGGAAAAAGAAAACCAUCUUGACAAACUACUUAGACGGUUUAAUUCUUUCCACUAUGACUUACAUAAGAUAUACCUUGGCUAUGGGAGUAUGAAAGUUGCUCUAGCAAGAGGAACUAAUUUGGUGGAUCAUGUAGUGUGGAGGAAAUUGUGCAUGCGCUGGGGUAGCAAGGAGUUCAAGGCCUUGUUGUUGCAAAACAAGGCUAAUAGAGGCAAACAGCUCACCAACCCUACUGCUGGCAGGAAAUCCUUUGUUCGAAUACUCGAAGAGUAGCGUGAGGGUGUUAAUAAUUUGGUCGAAUUUUUUAAAGAGACACGAUGGUCCAAGAAGAAGAACGAUUUUGUAACAGGCAUGAGUGAAGAGCUGCAUACAGGGUUGGGAUUUGGGUUGAUAAUAUGAUGGUAGUGAAGAGUUUGAUACGUGCGACAUUGUCCAUACAUGUGGGGGCGACAACCCUUUCAAACAGGAAAAAUUGUUGGGCAAGAUGGGGCUAAUGGGUGAUUGGUGAAACUAGUAUGAAGAUGGGAGCACUUAUGGUUCUGGACACAAAAGAUACUGAUGGUUCCAUGAUUGAAAGGACUCAAAUGUUGUCAAGUUAGGGUACACUGUCUGAAUAUAUAUGAUAAUUAUAGUUGUCGUGUAUUAAAUGUCCAAAAAUUAUUGCCUCAUAUGUGACUGCACAGUAAGAAGUUGCUAAUUUAGGUAAAUAUGUUGUUUCCUAGCUGCUAGUAUAUGUAAUAGAGUGAUUGGUAAAUUACUAGUAGUGGAAUUAGGUGGAUCAAAUCUAUGGUACACUAAAACUAUUACAGCUUUCAGUGCAUAUGAACUGGUUGGAAUAUAAAUGAUACAAUAUUUACAUAGUUGGAAGAUGCAUAUUUCUGUUUGA